UUAGGACUGUCACCAUCCACUUUACAAUGAGGAAAGCUGAUCUAAAGAUCAGAGAGAAGUGAGGCAGUGUGUCCAGGGUCACACAGCCUCUGAAUGGCCAAACUAGAGUUUCAACUCACUUCUGUCAGAGUCCAGAUUCUUCCCUACAACAAGCUGAGAUGUUUCCAGAAGACCAGGAUGGUGUAUUAUGGUCUCAAAGCUACAUGGAUGGGCAACAGAUUUCAUAUUCACAGAAUGCGGGGGUCAUCAUCACAAACUCAGAGUAGCAUGUGAAAUGCCAGACUGGAUGAGUUACAAGCUGGAAUCAACAUUGCUGGGAGAAAUAUCAAUAGCCUCAGAUAUGCAGAUGAUACCACUCUAAUGGCAGAAAGUGAAGAGGAACUAAAGAGUCUCUUGAUGAAGGUGAAAGAGGAGAGUGAAAAAGAUGGCUUAGAACUCAACAUUAAAAAAAUAACUAAGAUCACGGCAUCCGGUUGCAUCAUUUCGUGGCAAAUAGAUGGGGAAAAGUGGAAGCAGUAACAGAUUUUCUCCUCUUGGGCUCCGAAAUCACUGCUGGUGGUGACUGCAGUCGUGAAGUUAGAAGACGCUUGCUUCUUGGAAGGAAAGCUAUGACAAACCUAGAUAGUAUAUUAAAAAGCAGAGACAUCACUUUGCUGACAAAGGUCUAUGUAGCCGAAGUUAUGGUCUUUCCAGUAGUCAUGUAUGGAUAUGAGAGUUGGACCAUAAGGAAGGCUGAGCUCUGAAGAAUUGGUGCUUUUGAAUUGUGGUGCUGGAGAAGACUCUUGGACAGCAAGGAGAUCAAACCAGUCCAUCCUAAAGGAAAUCACCCCUGAAUAUUCAUUGGAAGGACUGAUGCUGAAGCUGAAGCUCCAAUACUUCCAGCACCUGAUACGAAGAGCCGACUCAUCGGAAAAGACUGUGAUGCUGGGAAAGUUUGAAGGCAAAAGGAGUAGAGCGUGGCAGAGGAUGAGAUAGUUGGAUAGCAUUACUGAUUCAAUGGACAUGAAUUUGGGCAAACUCCAGGAGAUACUGAGGAACAGGGAGGCCUGGUGGGCUGCAUGGGGUCGCAAACAGUCAGACACAACUUAGCGACUGAACAACAACAAAUAAAUAACUUGGUGUGUGAGUGAUGAUUACAGGGAAUGGAAGGGGUGUUGGACCAGGAGCCCCAGGAUUCUGGUCCUGAAUUUGCCCCCACCUCUCUAUGGGACUUGACCAUGUUCCCCUGCAGCCUUGGUUUCCUCCCCUGUAAAACAGGGGUACCUAUAAUCCUUCCUCACUGAGCUCUACGAGGAUGAAACAGGGCCUGGGACAGCUCCGACACCCAAGCAAGAGUGACAAGCAAGGUCUCUGAAGGUGACGGGCUCUGGGAACUAUGAGGGCUCAGUGACCCUCACUGAUCCCAGCACCGAGGGCUGCAGCCCAUCUCUUUUACUUUUUUGUCAAACCUGAAUUGGAAAGAUUGGGGCCACACUGUCCCCCAGGCCCCAAGGCCCCAAGGCAGAGGGCAGCGUGCUUGCUGUGGCCACAGGUUGCAUAAAAGGGCCUGUGUUCCGGCCGCUCACCUCCCACUGUGCGCCCAGUGGUUUUCUAUUUCAGUUGCUGUAAAAAUAUCACCUUUGAUCUCAGCUUGUGGCUCUU